UAUAAUUUAUUAUUGAGAGAAAGAAGUUCCAAUAAAAAUAAAGAAUAUAAAAAAAAGGAUAGGCAAGAACAAAAUAAAAAAACAUCUCAGGACUCAAUAGAAUCAAGAUAUGAAACGAAAUACAUGAAACAUGUAAUAUAUUGUAUUUGUUAAAAAUUAAAUUUUAAUAAAAAUAUUUUAAAAAAAUUUUUUAAAAAUAUUACUACAGAUCAUAUGAAAAAUCCUAAUAACAAAACACUAGGAGAAAGAUCUCAAGAUAAAGAAAGAUCUCCAGAUAAAGAAAGAUGUCAAGAUAAAGAAAGAUCAGAAGAUAGAGAAAAAUCUGAAGAUAAAAGAAGAUCUGGAGAUAUAGAAAGAUCUGCAGAUAGAGAAAGAUCUAGAGAACAAGGAGUAAUAUUAUCUCUAUCAAAUAGUUAUAGAUCGCUGCAAUAUUAUAAUAUUAAUUAUAGCGAGCAAAUAUAUAUUCCAGUUUCUGUUCCUGUUUAUUAUGGAGUGAGUAUUUAUAUCUCAAUUAUAAAAGAAAAUUUCUCAACAAUAUUAAAUUGCAUUAUUAAAACGUCCCACGGAAUCCAAGAAUUAUUGAACCUAGAAUACAGUAUAUCCAAAGAUCAAGAUUCAACACUCCAAUUUCCUGCUCGAGGAUCUAUUCCUUCAACAAUUUAUAUAUUCCGCAAUGUAAAUCCUAAUAUGUUAUGAAUUUGAAUUUAUAUUGAUGCACAUAAUAUUAGUAAUGCUGUAUUAUAUAACGAAAAAUCUUAAGAUAAAGGAAAAUGUGGAGAUAGAGGAAGAUUUACAGCUAGAGAAAGAUCUGCAAAUAUGAAAAGUCCUAUAACAAAACAUUAGGAGAAAGAUCUGGAGAUAAAGAAAAAUCUCGAGAUAAAGAAAGAUCUUCAGAUAAAGAAAAAUCUGAAGAUAAAGAAAAAUCUGAAGAUAGAGGAAGAUCUGCAGCUAGAGGAAGAUCUGCAAAUAUGAUGAAAAAUCCUAAAACAAAACAUUAGAAGAAAGAUCUGGAGAUAAAGAAAAAUCUCAAAAUAAACAAAGAUCUCCAGAUAAAGAAAAAUCUGAAGAUAGAGGAAGAUCUGGAGAUAGAGAAAGAUCUAGAGAACAAGGAAUAAUAUUAUCUCUAUCAAAUAGUUGUAGAUCGCUGCAAUAUUGUAAUAUUAAUUAUAGGGAGCAAAUAUAAGUUCCAGUUUCUGUUCCUAUUUAUUAUGGAAUGAAUAUUUAUAUCUCAAUUAUAAAAGAAAAUUUCUUAAAAACAUUAAAUGUCAUUAUUAGAACAUCACACCGAAUCCAAAAAUUAUUGGACCUAGAAUAUAGUAUAUCCAAAGGUCAAGAUCAACACUUCAAUAUUUCGUGUUCGAGGAUCUAUUCCUCCAACAAUUUAUAUAUUCCGUAAUGUAAAUCCUAGUAUGUUAUAAAUUUAAAUUUAUAUUGAUGCACAUAGUAUUAGUAAUGCUGUAUUCUGUAACGAAAAAUCUCAAGAUAAAGGAAAAUCUGGAGAUAGAGGAAGAUCUAUAGCUAGAGAAAAAUCUGCAAAUAUGGAAAGUCCUAUAACAAAACACUAGGAGAAAGAUCUAGAGAUAAAGAAAAAUCUCGAGAUAAAGAAAGAUCUUCAGAUAAAGAAAAAUCUGAAGAUAGAGGAAGAUCUAGAGAUAGAGAAAGAUCUGCAGCUAGAGAAAGAUCUGCAAAUAUGAAAAAUCCUAUGACAAAACACUAGGAGAAAAAUCUGGAGGUAAAGAAAAAUCUCGAGAUAAAGAAAGAUCUCCAGAUAAAGAAAAAUCUGAAGAUAGAGAAAGAUCUAGAGAACAAGGAGUAAUAUUAUCUCUAUCAAAUAGUUGUAGAUCACUGCAAUAUUAUAAUAUUAAUUAUAGCGAGCAAAUAUAUAUUCCAGUUCCUGUUCCUUAUAGAAACGUCCCACCAAAUCCAAAAAUUAUUGGACUUAGAAUACAGUAUAUCCCAAGAUCAAGAUUCAACACUCUAAUAUUUCCUGUUCGAAGAUCUAUUCCUCCGACCAUUUAUAGAUUUCGCCAUCUAUAAUCCUAAUAUGUUAUGAAUUUAUAUUGAUGCAAAAGAAUAAACAUUUUUUAAAUCACAAAAAAA